rnacentral:lncRNA from 12 species
GACUACUAUUUUUCAUGUUCCCAAAUGCACUUUUGUAAACUACAAAAUAUUAAACAAAAGUGAAUACUCAUUAUCUCUGUGAUCAUAUGAUCAUCUCAAAUUUCUCUGGAGCCAGGAGAAACUGACAGUGGAUAAUCAGAUCAUUGGUGAAGUGGAUUAUAAAAAUGGAUGUUACUUACUGAGGUGUUCCUGAAGUACUCUGUGGCCAUUCUAUGCACUGAGCAACAUGGACUGAGGGACCUCUGGAUAUUCCCAAGUGCCACUGUAUUGAUUAGAAAAUCACCAAUCUGCAUAUGCACACCAUCUGUGCUGUGGAGAAGCAAAAAAUGCAGGAUGACAUUUGCCUUAUUCGAAGGAAGAUUCAGAAACCACUAA